rnacentral:lncRNA from 1 species
GGAGGACCCCGCCCGGGUUCUGCCGCCUGUCAGUCCCGCGCGCUCAGGACGUCUCCCAGCCGCCCCCGACUCGCCUACUCCCCGAGCGCGCACUGGUCUGCUGGAGCUCCGACCGUGACGUCAUCCUUCCUGCAGGGCGCGUUGCGCCGCAGGGGUAGGCGACUAUGACGCGACAAGCCCGGUGACGUUACGGAGGCCCGGGGCCGCCCCUUGGACCCACUGCCCCGCUGUUGCCGUGAACACACGAUGGCAUUGCCGGAGUUGAUCAUCUCCCAAAAACAAGGGUCUUGCUAUAUUGUCCAGGCUGGUCUUGAACUCCUGGCCUCACUGAUCCUCCUGCCUUGGCCUCCCAAAGUUCUGUGGUUGCAGGCAUGAGCCACCAUGCCUGGUGAAAUGUGCCUGUAGAGCUGCCUUAGAAUUGGACUGAGGAACUUCAGCAACGCAGGAUGUGUUUCUUUAGACUCCUCUCACCUGCUGAUACCACAGGCUCCCUGGAGGCAGGGCCCCGUGUUAGGCUGUGGGAUAUCCCUACAAGGCCCAUGAAUUUUGAGGCACUUGCUGAAUGCAGCUGGGCCAAGCCCUAUCCUGGACCUCUCACCUCCCAAAUAACUGCAGGCACGGGACCCCAGGACUGCAGAGCAACUUAUCAACAUAUUUGCUCUGUGUGUGUGUGUGUGUGUGUGUGUGUGUGUGUGUGUCUUGUGCGUGCCCGCACAUGUGUGAAUCCCUCAGUUUUCCCACCUGUGAAGUGGGGCAGGUUGGUCCCAGACUCCUGUCUGCCUCGCAGGGAUGAUUUGAGAGAGUGAGAUCAUGUCUGGGCAGGGCUCUGGGAGCUUCAGAGGCAGCCUAAGGUAAACAACAGAAAGCCUCACUGCCCAGAGAGCAGAGACCGCAGCAAACCAUGGCUCCAUGCCUCCCAUUAUCCCGGGGGGGAAAGCCCUCCCCAAAAGCCCCUUGUAAACUGGGAAGGGAGUGCUGAGACAACAGAGAGGCAGGCGUUCCCAAGGCCUUGGGAGAGAACAGCAGCCAGACAGAGGCUGGAGAGGCGCCGAGACAAGGGAGGCAGCUGAGGGAGGACGGGAGGCUGGAUAGGAACCACCAGGGUCCCCAUCAAGUCAACUGUGUGUCCUCCAGUCCCAGAGAGGGAAGAACCCUGGCCAGUGUGGUGGGCCACACAGCCUGGUGAAUGGGAGUAGCCUAAUGCUCCCAGCACCCACGGGAGCCAAGCUGGAGCCAGCCAUUUCAGGGCAUGUGUGUGCAUGUGCCGGGGUGAGCGGGGGGAAGCACAUGAGCAGGAAGGCCUGGGUAGGUGGCCAUGGGGAUGGGGACAGGGACAGGGGCAGGCAGGACAAGGUGGUGUCAGGGCGUCUGUGAUGCUAGAGUCAUGGACAGAGCAACAAGACCUGUGUCUUGACAAGGUAGGAAGGUGAGGAGGGCAGGAACCCAAGCUACAGUGGGAGAGGGAGGGCUGGCCACAGGCUAGCUCUCUGAGGGACCCUGGGGAUGCCACAUCUACCCUCCGGGCCAUCUGUCAAAUGCAGGCAUGGUUGGAUCCUGGAACAGAAAAAGGGCAUUCGUGAAAAAACUGGUGAAAUCCCGGUGAGGCCUGUUGCUUCGUUAGUAGUGUGGUAUCAAUAUUAAUUUCGUAGUUUUGAUCAAGGCACCAUGGUUAUGUAAGAUGUUCACAAUAGGGGAGGCUGGGUGAAGGAUAAUUGGGAACUUCCUGUGCUAUCUUUGUGACUCAGCUGUAAAUCUAAAAUUAUUUCAAAAUAAAAAGCCUGAGCAUGUA